UACGGAGGGUGCGAGCGUUGUCCGGAAUCACUGGGCGUAAAGGGCGCGUAGGCGGCCUGAUAAGUAGGGGGUGAAAUCCUGCGGCUUAACCGCAGGGCUGCCUUCUAAACUGUCGGGCUAGAGCACGGUAGAGGCAGAUGGAAUUCCCGGCGUAGCGGUGGAAUGCGUAGAGAUCGGGAAGAACAUCAGUGGCGAAGGCGGUCUGCUGGGCCGUUGCUGACGCUGAGGCGCGACAGCGUGGGGAGCAAACAGG
rnacentral:rRNA from 1 species